UUGUAGUAAAAUACUGAAUCUGCCGACAUGCAUUCUAGAAUGGCCGUCUUCAAACAAAGGUGAGACUCAUUUACUCCCCUGGUUUCGGUUGUGAUUGUUCAAUCCCUUUCCAUUAUCUGUAGCCUGGGUUCGCUGCUAGACUACCUUUUAAUAUAUGUCUCAACGGACUAUACUAACCGAGAAGGUUGAAAUCCCACAAGAAGACGACAUGCUAGCGGCCAGCUCUACCUUUUGCCAACGUGUGAAUCAAGGCUGCAUCAAUCGGCUAACUAAUGAGAUCAAUGAGUUUCUUCAUUAGGACCUCAGAUCGAUUCCCAAGUUUUCUCAUAGCUAGCAACUCCCUCCAUCUGGAUUUAUUAGGCCGGCCAAUAAAUUCAAGUAUGUCACAAAAAUUAUAUCAUCGGAAAGCUCUUUCAAAUACAAAUCCAACCGUGUACUUUUUGUACCAUAUAUUUUAUAUUUUACUGGGAACAUGGAUGGCCAAAGUUUGUCUUAAAAUAGUUGGGGGCCUAAUAAACCUGGACGGAGGUACUAGCUAGCAAGUCUAAUUAGUGAGUAAUAUAUUCAGACCUGUAGUCUCCGUCUUAAUUAGUUUAUUACUCCCUCCGCCCGAAAAAGCUUGUUCCAAACUUGUUCCUCAAAUGGUUGUAUCUAGCACUAACUUGGUGCUAGAUACAUCCAUAUCAAGGACAAGUUUUUUCGGACGGAGGGAGUACUUAACAAUGCCCUCAAGACCUGCACAGAAAACAAGUUCAGAUCCGUGGAACACAUGAUACUAGCAAAAAUGUUAUCUUAGAGAUACUAGCAAAAACGCUUUGUAGGUAAUGUUGUUAUUAUUGUUUCUUUCAUCAACAUACACCAUGUUAUUUAUGGAGCAAUUAUAACUGUUGUGUGUUUCUUCCUUGGCAUACCACUUAUGUAGUUAUUUCCUCAAUUGAUUUUCCUUGCUAACAAGUAUUUUGUUUGUACUUCAGUGUAAGCAACUGUAAGUUGGUUAAGAUGUAAUACAACUUGAGCCAUCGUUUCACAACAACCCACUGGCAUUUGAUAUUGAGUUUCAGAAUUUUUAUUAUUAUUGUAGAUCAGAUGGAAAUCUACAACCUCAAAUCUGAGCAAGUACACAUUCAGUCAUCUAUCCUGAUGCAAUGCAGAAUAUUUGUCCCUUAGACCACAAUGUAUACUUGUAUUACUGGCCAGAAUGCAUUGAGAUUUUUUUAAGAUAAUAAAUAUCGCCUCGAAGUUCUGAAAAAUUUGUACUGCCUUUUUUCUCUCUCU
rnacentral:lncRNA from 1 species